rnacentral:lncRNA from 1 species
UACUUUAAGUAAUACAAGCAAUGUAUACCAUGGAAGACAAUGUACAAUUAUAAACAAAUGAAUAAUGAUAUUGCCAAGUGAUAAAAUUUAAUAUGAAAAGUACAAUGAAGUAGUAGUCAAACUUAAGCUGAUAUAACAUUAGAAUACUUAUUUAUGCCUUGGAAUUCUACUGCAACACACAGAUGAGCAGCUUAUCUCUCCAUGUAUUCACCUAUUUAAAGGUCCACCCCUGAGUAAUUUAUUAAAUAGCGCCAAAAUAAAUUAACAGAGUAAGAUAAGAUGAUGUGGUAGUGACAAUCAAUGAUUCAAAAAUUCAUUAAGGCCUACUCAAAAAAACUCUGCAGGCAUGCAGGUCUCCCAAAUUUUAUUGAUAGAAAGGAACUAAAAUAAGGUGCCAUUUGGAGCAUCGGAAUGAUGUAGGUGUUUAGCCAGUUCAAACAGGCUAACAGAACAAGUUUGAAAGUGUAAGAGACUUAGAAAAUUCAUUGUGGAAGUAAAAAACAGAACAUUCUUACAGUGUACAUGAGAAGGGAUUAAGAUAGUAACCAGUUGACAAAUACAUAUUUCUUUCUCAUAUUUCUCUGUCAAACAAUGUGUGGUACAGCGCUGUAAUUUUUAUUUUUAUGGUUUUAUUUAUUAACAAGGAGAUGAAAAAGUAAGCUAUUUAAAGUGGAGAUGUUCUAAGUAUCUUUUUUUAAAAUAAAUUUUCAAUGGGAAUAGGACUAGUUUCUGCAAAAUUUAUCCUGAAAUUGAUAUGGAAAAAAUAGGCAUAAAAAUGUCUGGUAAAUAUAAUAUUGGAAAAUGGCAUUUAGCAUAAUAAGCAGGGAAAAUAAUUAGUUAAAAUAAAUGAAUGUUCAAUGAGAAAUAAAUUUCCUUAAAAGUACUGGAAGCAAAGUAGUGGAAACACUGUGUAUUAGCCAGAGCACUAAGAAAACAUUUGAUACGAAACAAUACCUCAGGGAAUAAAUGUGAUGGGACAGCAGGCCCCAUACUGGUCUAAUGUCUAUAAUUCCAUCUAAAUGUCAGUAAUGGAAAAAAUGAGAAGAAGGAAGAAGAUUACAAACAACACAUGGGUCCGUCUGUCUUUCUGCAUGUAACUCUAUAGGGAUUCUCUAUUAGAAUUACAUAGUAGUGGAAUUACAUAGUAGUGGAAUCUGGUCUAUGACAUGUAAGACAAAUUAUCCACAACCAUGACAUUUUCCAUGCUACAACUGUAGGUACAUAAGUAUAGUCCAGAAAUCAAAUUCUUAGUUUUGUCACCCUUAUAAAGCAGCAGGAACACUGGAAAUUCUCCCCCUUAUAUUUGGGAUCUACUUGAGAACCUCCCUUCACCCCACACAAAACCCAACUAAAGAAAUCAUUUCUGUUCCUUUCUUUUUAUUUACAAAGAAUUUUUCUCUCCAAAAUCUACAUUUGCCUACUUUUGGCUCUGUCAUCAAGUAGGGUGAUACAAAAUGUAUGCCAAGAAAAGUCUGAUUGUUUCAUUUUUUAUUUUUUUCUUACUUGUCUGACACAGUGACAGGAUCACAGAAUGUGAAUUUUGAACAGAUCUGAAAAGUUAUUAAGUUCAACUCCACAGAGGUUCCUAGGAGAAUGUUAACAGUCCAGACCUUUUUCACUACAUCAACCAUGGAUGACUGGCAUAUAAAAUCCUACUUAACCUUUACAUAACUGCAAUACCAGGAAACAAAUAUGUCAAUAAAAG